UCACGUUUCUUCAUCCUCCAUGGGAAAUCUCUUCAGGCUUUCAUAACUCUCUCAAGUUAGUCUCAAAUUUCAUGCUUUUGUGCACCUUUUCACAAGCCCUUUGUGCUCUUUUACUCUUUCACCUUAAAAACCCUCCAAAGUCUUAAACUAAUACUUUCUCUCACUAGCUAGGUGUUUUAGAGAGAGAAAAAAAAACUCUCUAUAAUAGUUUGGGAAUUCUUGAUGAGGAAUCCAAUUACAAAUCUAGCAAGGUGAGUAUUGAAAUUGAGUUGAUAUUUUUAGUUGUUGAGAAUGGCUGGUGGUUAGAUCUGUGAGUGUUUUGUAGUUAAGGUGAUUUAUUCAUUUUAGUGUGACUAGAAUAGUGAAAAUAGAUAGCCACUUAAUGGUAGUUAGAAACUAGUUAGGAAUAACUAGCAGAACAUGAUUUAGGAGAUAGCUUCUAGAACUAUAUUUAUGUGAAUUGAGUUAAUUGUAAUGCUAUUAUGAUGAUAGGUUCCAACGAAGCUCCACCGCCCCAUUUGGACCAUU
rnacentral:lncRNA from 1 species